UAUGAGGAAAAGCCAAAAGCAGCAAUGCAUGUGUUCUGCUUUUAUAAGGUGGAAAUGAGAAAGAAAAGACAAAUUAUUUCUACACACAAUCGCAAGUUUAUUGGCAAAAGUGCUCCGAUGAAGUCAACAAUCAUGUCAUAUGCUAUCUCUUACACUCUUUAACACAUGGUUCUUGGGUCUUCAAAGAUAACGACAGUCGGAGCAUUUCCUGCUCUGUUGUAUCAGUCAUGGAUGUUAUUUUGGCAGCCUGCAACGACUUUGCGCAUUUGCUCGACUAGCUGCAUCCGUUCAUUAGUCUUGACACACUACUGAACCUUACCACCAACACCAUUUAUCAUUCAAUAGGUGGCAGAGGAACGAUUUAAUGUUUUUCUUUUUAACUCUGCCUCUUAAUUAUCAUCACAAACGCAGCAAGUCAUACCGGAAUGACAUCUACCGGGAUUACGACAGCUAGAUCUCUUAACAAACAAA